UCGUUAAUGGUGGUUGACUAAACUAUUAACUCCCUGUAAGAAGAGCAAAAAUUGUUCAUCGAUCACUUGCAUCUGCAUCUGCAUCAGCAAAGGACCUCCUAAAAUCCUACAGCAAAUUAAUCCACUUUCCGCCACUCUUUCCUCUCGCUCGCUCUGUCGCUCGAUUUGAUAUAUAAGCCUUUUGUGGCACCAAAAGAAGUUUGUGGUGUCCAUUACUAAUUUGGAGGUUGAUUCUUCAUUUUGGGCAGUAUAUCACUGACCAGGUCAGUUAUGCGUCAACGCGGGCACUAGCAAGAGAAUGGGGAGAGGAAUUCGGAUAUUGAGCAGCAAUCAAGUCCCCAGAAUGAUGGAGUCGAUCCAACGUUGGGGGGUAUCAUUUUUAAGUACUGACAUAGUACUAUGUGUGAACCCUUUCUUCUUUUACCUUCCUGUAAUCAACCAAGAUCACAAGUGUCUUGCGUUAGAUAGAAGAUCAAAGGUCACUGCUAUUUGUGUCCGAUCGGUCUUCGAUUUGAUUUAUCUUAUGAAUAUCAUUUUGGGAUUUCUUUGUCCUUAUAAAGAUGAGGACGCUAGUCGUAGAUGCGAACGAACUUUGUUAGAGCAGUCCCACCAGGUUAUGUAAAACCCGUUUUUAGUUAAAAUAGAUAGCAGAAUUCGU